GUACGUAAGUUGUUGCAGUUAAAAAGCUCGUAGUUGGAUCUCAGGCUUGUGGCCGGUGGUCCGCUCGAUACGGGUGUGCACUGCCGUGUCCGGCCUACGUCUGGUCUAACGUCCAUAGUGCCCUUAACCGGGUGCUAUGGAAUGCCAGAAAGUUUACUCUGAAAAAAUUAGAGUGCUCAAAGCAAGCCGUUUGUGCUUGAAUACUGUUGCAUGGAAUAAUGGAAUAGGACCUCGGUUCUAUUUUGUUGGUUUUCGGAGUCGAGGUAAUGAUUAAGAGGGACAGACGGGGGCAUUCGUAUUGCGCCGUUAGAGGUGAAAUUCUUGGAUCGGCGCAAGACGAACAACUGCGAAAGCAUUUGCCAAGGAUGUUUUCAUUAAUCAAGAACGAAAGUCAGAGGUUCGAAGACGAUCAGAUACCGUCGUAGUUCUGACCAUAAACGAUGCCAACUGGCGAUCCGCCGCAGUCUGGCUUAAAGGACUCGGCGGGCAGCCUCCGGGAAACCUAAGUCUAUGGGUUCCGGGGGAAGUAUGGUUGCAAAGCUGAAACUUAAAGGAAUUGACGGAAGGGCACCACCAGGAGUGGAGCCUGCGGCUUAAUUUGACUCAACACGGGAAAAACUCACCCGGCCAG
rnacentral:rRNA from 1 species